rnacentral:misc_RNA from 1 species
GCCCUUCACUAUGCCCCCAUCCCGGAUUACAACCUUGCCAGGCGAUGGAGCGAAGUAGAAUUAUGGAAAGACAAUCAACAUCAUAAACAUUGGAUCCUCAGCAUGCCAAAAUUGAUAAAAGCCCAAGGAACUAAUUAAAACCACAAACGAUUUCUUAAGCAACAACAGAGGCAAUUUUUGACACAUCUACCUAGGAAAGUAAAACUUUAUAGCAGAAAAUCAUAAUCAAUAUCUUCAGAAAUCAGCAAUUGUUAACAAGUGACUUGUCAAAUUGUAUAUAGUGAUGUAAUCAUCCCACUGAAGUCCAGAAGAUAUAUCCUGAUGAUACAUGAUGAGAUCCGCUUCAUUGUUUCUACUAGAAAGAUUAUAGUAAAAAAAGCAUAUAGUAAGCAGUGAUCAGACAUCAGAGUUUUCUACAGGGAAUCGGCUGCACAACCAAGCUGCCACAAGCUAAAUGCAAAACACCAGCUUGAACACAAAUAACCUUCCAAAAUUUUUCCUUUUAGCUCUUUUUGGUGCUUUGUCCACAAAGAGCAUGCACAUUUCCAUCUAUAAUGAUUCUUUUUGUGAUAUUCUUCAUCAUCAUCAGUGUCAAAUCAGGGUUCACCCAUGCACACUAAUGAUCCACCCAGCCUUUGAGCUUCUACAUCAUUCAUCACAAGUGGAAGAAGCUUCAACUGAUACUCUGAGUGAAGGAAUGGAUCAGAACACAAAUGCCCAUUGCCUCCCACCUCAGUUCCUUGUGCCUGCACUCCUGCAAGCUGAGAUAUGAUAAUGAAGCUGUAUCAUCAGCCCAUAAAAUAUUCCAAGCCCAGGUCCCAGCGGCCAGGGUGCAGGCAUGGCCCAAGCCCCUCAUCGGGGCCGGGCUAAACCAAAACUUGCAUC